GACGAACGCUGGCGGCGUGCUUAACACAUGCAAGUCGAACGGAAAGGCCUGCUUUCCCUUGUGGAUUGCGGGUACUCGAGUGGCGAACGGGUGAGUAACACGUGAGUGAUCUGCCCCCAACUUGGGUAUAAGCCUGGGAAACUGGGUCUAAUUCCCGAUAGGACUGCAGGGUGGUUCCUGUGGUGGAAAACGAUUUUCUAGUGGUUGGGGAUGAGCUCGCGGCCUAUCAGCUUGUUGGUGGGGUAAUGGCCUACCAAGGCGGCGACGGGUAGCCGGCCUGGGAGGGUGGACGGCCACAUUGGGACUGAGAUACGGCCCAGACUCCUACGGGAGGCAGCAGUGGGGAAUAUUGCACAAUGGGCGGAAGCCUGAUGCAGCGACGCCGCGUGGGGGAUGACGGCCUUCGGGUUGUAAACUCCUUUCGACCGCGAGGAAGCCACCUGGUUGGAAGGGUGGUGACGGUAGUGGUAGAAGAAGCACCGGCUAACUACGUG
rnacentral:rRNA from 1 species